rnacentral:SRP_RNA from 1 species
GUUAGGUGUGGUGGCAGCCACCUAUUCUCCCUGUUAAUGGGGAGACUGAGGCUGGUGGAUCCCUUCAGCAUGGGAGAUCUGACCUGCAGUAGGUCUAAAGCUGACCACGUGUCCCCAGUAAGUUCUUCACCAAUAUAGUGAUCCCCUGAGAGUAGGGGGAAGGUAUCAGCUGCCUAAGGAAGGUGAACCAGCCCAGGGUAGAAAUGGAGCAGGUCAAAGCUCCUAUGCCAAUUACCACUUGGAUCAUGCCCAUGAGCGGCUGCUUCAAUUCCAGCCUGGGCAAGAUAAGGAGACCCAAUCUCA